rnacentral:rRNA from 1 species
UGCCGGCGACCGGCGGACGGGUGCGUAACGCGUAUGUAACCUACCUUCGACAGGGGGAUAACAUCGAGAAAUUGGUACUAAUACCCCAUAACAUCACCGGAGGCAUCUUCGGUGGUUGAAAACUCAGGUGGUCAGAGAUGGACAUGCGUUGUAUUAGCUAGUUGGUGAGGUAACGGCUCACCAAGGCGACGAUACAUAGGGGGACUGAGAGGUCAACCCCCCACAUUGGUACUGAGACACGGACCAAACUCCUACGGAAGGCAGCAG